CAAAUUAUUCCUAAGUGGAUUUAUUAUUUACAUUAAUGAUUUUGUUGUGCGAUUCAAUAUAAUUUGA
rnacentral:tRNA from 1 species